rnacentral:lncRNA from 1 species
CUCCUUCUUGAUUUGAACUAUUUCAAAGAUGAGAAGUAGGAGAAGAGUUUUAGAUGUGAGACACUCUCAGAAAACUCAUAGAUGGAGAAAGAAAAGAGGUGAACUCAGCAACCCUAGAGAAGACCCUCUUCUUCUUCUCUUUGUUCUCACCUAGACACUUAGUUUUGUGUCUAUUAUAUCUCCAUGCCCUAACACCCUUUCUCUCUGAAUUUUACAUACCC